AAACACCACGCGCACUGGGACCGUUGGCACGUCCUGCUCUUUUCGGGGCUUCUGGAGGCUGCGUCUUCAUCAAUUCCGUACAGGUCCACGACCUCUAAUAACAGCUUUGUAUCGCUGGCAACAGGUCGCAGGAGAGAGGGAACUCCAUGGUGCCGCCACACUGGGUCCAGCUGCUGGGCAUGCAAAGGCGAGAGUCUGGGUUUGGAACUGCAGGACCUGCCAUCAGGCUGACCCACACCCUGAGAUGGGAGGUUGGACCCGGAAGCUGGGUCCCAGGCUGGCUG
rnacentral:lncRNA from 1 species